rnacentral:sRNA from 1 species
GUACAAGGUUUCCGUAGGUGAACCUGCGGAAGGAUCAUUGUCGAAACCUGCCCAGCAGAACGACCCGCGAACGCGUUUAUAAACCGGGGGAUCGCCGUGGGAUCCGUCCGGCGUCGGUCCCUCAUCGGGGCCCGGGCGAGGGAGGCGGGAUCGGGCUAUGCCUUUCCCCCGCAACCCCCAGCCCGUGGUCCCGCUAACAAAACCCCGGCACCGAACGUGCCAAGGAAUUGAAAUUGAAAAGGUCGCACGSCCCGGGCGCCCCGGGAACGGUGAGCGUCCGGGACUCGUUGCGCUUUUGAGAAACAAAACGACUCUCGGCAACGGAUAUCUCGGCUCUCGCAUCGAUGAAGAACGCAGCGAAAUGCGAUACUUGGUGUGAAUUGCAGGAUCCCGCGAACCAUCGAGUCUUUGAACGCAAGUUGCGCCCGAAGCCUUCUGGCCGAGGGCACGUCUGCCUGGGUGUCACUCAAUCGUCGCCCCAACCGCAUCUCCCCCUUUACAAGGGAGGGACGUGGGCGGGGCGGAUGCUGGCUUCCCGUGUGCUCAUAGCCCGCGGUUGGCCCAAAUGCCCGGUCCUAGGCGUCUGCGCCACGGCAAUCGGUGGUUGCAAGACCCUCGCUUGACGCCGUGUGCGCUCGGCUGCCGUCGGGACCCAUGACCCCAAAGCGUACCCAAGGGUGCGUUCGCUCUGCGACCCCAGGUCAGGGGGGAUUACCCGCUGAGUUUAAGCAUAUCAU